rnacentral:lncRNA from 1 species
GUUCAUAGCGAAUCGCUUUAGGAUACAAUGAACCCUCAGAAUUUAAUCCGAGGUCUGACUGCGUUUGCACAAAGAAAUAGCCCCAAAAUACUUAGAUUUUUAGGAGCCAAGAAUAUUGAAAUGCUGUUUCUGUAAAAACAGAAGUCAAGAAAAGUUGAAACGUUAAUUAACAAAGGGAAAAGAGAAGUUUCGCUGAAAAAUCAAGUGAUGUUAAUUGUUUUGCGAAAAUCUGUCAAUUUAUAGACUGAAUAGUGUCUUUUUAUGAAGAGGGUAUUGCGAAAAAGAUUGACGUUAGAUUCAAAAUCUAACAGUCACAUUUUUAACGUUCAUUUAUAACAGUAACAUUAGGUUUAAACCAUGUCCAUCCGAUCACAUUUUAGUAUCAAUCGGUGUAGAUCGCACCUCUUCAAUAUCCAAUCAAGCGUUUCUCACAUCUAUAAUUAGAUGUGAAUUUACACCAUACAAUCUUGUUAAUCUUUAAUAUUAACCGUCCGAUCGUUGUGAUCAUGUGAAUAAAAAUCAACAGUCUGAUCACACGACACACGUGCACGUUCGUCCAAGUGCCAAGUGCACACUAAUAGCGCACCAUUGCGCCAACGCGCGAGUGUUGGACACGUGCGGACGCAUUGCACCGUCCUUACAUGUGCACACACUUACACCCACGAUAAUGCCUAGCACAACAAGAAAAAAAGCUCAUAAUGACUACACUUAAAAACGUUUUCACUUCCUUCUUUUUUUUUCAAUGUGGGCCUCAAACUUCAAAAACUAUUAAUUAUACCAUCUUUGAAAAUAUUUCAACAGAGAUUCUUCGGUGAUACGUUUCAAGUGCUGCCUGCCAAGAAAACAGAACUUUUUCAAUCGUAUGUCUCGGUAUAUAAGGAAGCUUAGCAAAGACACAAAAGAAGACCUGUGCAAACAAAUCCGAAUCAAGCUUCCUCGUCAAUUACACUGCCACGAGCAACAUUGACAAUCCGAACAGGCAAACUUGUGCCCGUUUUGUGCAGUUCAUGUUCUCUACUAUCUUUCGUACACAAGGCCUGUUCUCUUCAUUCCAUUCACUAUAGCUAAUUCUAGUUAUCAAGGGAAAACCUCUUUGGGCGUGUUUAUAUUUUUGAAGUUCUGUAUACUUCAGCUAUUUCAAGAAUGUCCCUGCAAAAAUAUUCGUUCCAUCGUCCCAUAUUUUUUGUCUAUCUUUUUCAUUUUGAGACGUCCUAAAAAAUUAUACACUUUGAAAAGUCAAAGUAUAAAGUUCGUAACUUUCCAAAACUUAUACUUAAUAAAUAGUUAAAAAUGUGUUUUAGAGUAGAAAAUAAAAAAGGCAAUGUUAUAACUUAUACCUUUAUAUUUGAAUACCAAUACAAUAAUUGGAUAUUGUUUAAAAAGUUAAAACUAUCAAAGAGGACCAACAAUUAGAGACAUAUGGAAUACAAGUUUUUCUCAAUUAUUGAGAUUUUUUUUAUACCGUGGCCUGAGACCGUCAAAGCUGACAACCAAUUAAGCAUGUGGAGAGCUUGUUUUUGCCACCCCGACACGGGGUGGUGACGACAUGUGACUUGUUUUUUUCAAAUUUUUGCCAACUAUACCUCUUCUAAUCUCUCUCACCUAUUAAAUUUUUUUAAUACCACUCAUUGUGAUUUAUUAAAAAAAAAAUUGAUACAAUUUUUGAAUUUCUUUUUUUACUUUCCACUUUUUGGUUAUUAUUAAAAAAAAUUUUUUGUCUUUUUUUUGUAGAGUACAUCACCAUUAGAGAAAAAAAAUAUUGUUCACAUAGAUCAUAUUAGUAUCACAUCAGCCUCACUAGCUUUCAAUAAAUUAUAGUAAAAAAUAUCUUUUUAUUUUACUUGUCCACUUGUUAACAAAUAACUACAUUGGCAUCUCUAUUAGAAAAAGACUGAAAAAGUAGAUAUCAAAUGAAUAAUUUUUAUUCCUUUUUUUACUAGAAAUAGCAGUAAAGUUAGAUUUAUGGGCUAUUUUGGCCAGCCUGAUAUUGACAAUUUUUAAAAAAAUUAAUAAUUAAUGUGGAAUUUACUACUAUAUUGAUAUGUUAAAAGUUAUUAUUUUUCUUAUGUGUUUUUUAUGAUAAAUCAAAAUACUAAAAAAUGCAUUAUUAAUUUCCAAGGAUAAUCUCAAAUAACAAAUCUAAAUUUUUCGAUUUAGUAUUUUAAAAAAAAAUUAUGCUAAUUAGUUUGGCAUUAAAUUUUAUAAAUUGAGAAAAAAAAUUUAAAAAAAUAUUACAAAUUUUGAUUCAUAUUUUUUUCUUUUAUAAAAAAUAUAAGGUGGGAGUAAAAGAAAUUAUAAAAUUUUAUCAUAAAAUUUUUUUUAUAUAAAAAUUUGAAAGUGAAAGUAAAAAAAAAAUAGAAUCAAUAGGUAUUAAAAGAAAAAUAAAAUAAAAUAAAGGGAUUGAAUGGCAAAAUGGUAACUUGUAGGGGAAAUUGAGGCUAAAAGUGGAAAGUAAAAAAAAUGGUCACGUCAGAGUUGAGGCCAGGAUCAGUUUGGGUCG